AGAUCAAUAAAAAUUAUCACUAAGCAUCCUCCCUCCCUGGGCUUCGGGUUCCAGAAAACAACCCUUGUCCCCCAGCCCCAACUACCUAUCUGUGAAUAUACAGCAAGUGCCCCCUUGGCCUAAUUAACUAACCUCUCUGAGCCCCUGUUCUUUCUUUCCUCCAAUUAUAAAGGCCAUAAAUGCUCAUUACAGAAAAAUUGAAAACUACAGGAAAAUAGAAGGAAGAAAAGGUCACCUGCCUUAUUUAACACACAUAUUUUCUCUAUAAGGUACAUCGCAGCCUUACUAUCUGAGCGUCAUCACUGUUAACACUUUCGAGUUUUCCUUCUGGCCUUCGUUCCAUGCCUACACUUUUUCACAUAUGUAAGGAAAGACCACCUUCUUCCCAGCAAGAAACAGUAUUGGUCAUCUUGGGAGCUUCUGCUGCUGGUGGCCUAGAGAGCCAGAUGAAGGAGUAGAGAAAUGGCAGCUGACUGCAGGAUGGUACAAGAAGGGGAGGAGAGGAGAGAUACAUCCAGAAGCUGGAAACUAGUUCAGCCCUUUGAUGUCAUCCUCUAAGGAGACAGAGCAGAAUGGAGAAAACAGUUGUCUGGAACUGAGCCCAAAAUUAUCUCAGAGGUAUGCCUAUAUAAACAUGGGGCUUAGAGAAAUGCUUCUCUAGCCAGUUUUUCC